rnacentral:tRNA from 1 species
GGGGCCGUGGUCAAGUGGUUAAGACACCGCUCUUUCAAGGCGGUAACACGGGUUCGAAUCCCGUCGGGGUCACCA